CCUACGGGUGGCAGCAGUAGGGAAUAUUGCACAAUGGGCGAAACCCUGAAGCAGCAACGCCGCGUGGAGGAUGAAGGUUUUCGGAUUGUAAACUCCUUUUGUUAGAGAAGAUAAUGACGGUAUCUAACGAAUAAGCACCGGCUAACUACGUGCCAGCAGCCGCGGUAAUACGGAGGGUGCAAGCGUUACUCGGAAUCACUGGGCGUAAAGAGCGCGUAGGCGGGAUAGCAAGUCAGAUGUGAAAUCCUAUGGCUUAACCAUAGAACUGCAUUUGAAACUGUUAUUCUAGAGUAUAGGAGAGGUAAGUGGAAUUCUUGGUGUAGGGGUAAAAUCCGUAGAGAUCAGGAGGAAUACUCAUUGCGAAGGCGACCUGCUAGAACAUAACUGACGCUGAGGCACGAAAGCGUGGGUAUCGAACAGGAUUAGAUACCCUGGUAGUC
rnacentral:rRNA from 1 species